GCCAAUGUGGUGUAGUGGUUUCAAGCAUUAGACUAUAACUUUGGAGAUCAGGAUUCGAUUCCCUGCUCAGACA